rnacentral:rRNA from 1 species
UACAGAGGGUGCGAGCGUUAAUCGGAAUUACUGGGCGUAAAGGGUGCGCAGGCGGUCUCGUAAGCUGGGUGUGAAAGCCCCGGGCUUAACCUGGGAAUGGCAUUCAGGACUGCGAGGCUUUGAGUGCGGCAGAGGGAGGUGGAAUUCCACGUGUAGCAGUGAAAUGCGUAGAGAUGUGGAGGAACACCGAUGGCGAAGGCAGCCUCCUGGGCCAGCACUGACGCUCAUGCACGAAAGCGUGGGGAGCAAACAGG